rnacentral:lncRNA from 1 species
GGGGAGGCCAAAGUAGGAGCUGUUCCAUGUCCACAUCUCUAGUAAAAGUUUGCUAGGAAGAAUGUAACAUUUGUAGAAUAAGAUUUGUAUAUGGCCUAACCACUGCCUUAUAAAUUGAGACCCGGUACUACUACCUUUUUGGGGGACUCAGAAACAGAAUUUGAUGCCUGGGAUGAACAGUGUGUGCUGUGUGGAUGUACUGAAGUAUCACAAUGGACCCCAUUGUAUCAGUUAAGGUUCAUUAGAGGAACAGAUUUGAUUUACAAGGUGGGCCUACAGUGGCUGCCUGCAGAGUAAGGAGAAUGCAAGAGGGCUGUCUGCACUCUGGAGAUCAGCAGAAUCCAGUCAAAGUCAGGGGCCUGGAGCUCACUGUAGAGUCCUGCACAAGUUUGAAUUGGGAAGCCAAAGGACCUGAGCCAGGAGACUGAAGAGCCUGCACUGGAAGCUUGGAGACAGACGUCCGAAGGUGAUGGUGAAGACUGCAGUGCCCCUGAAGAAGCCAGACAUUUCUUUCCCUGUUUAUUCCAUCCAGGCUGCAAGUCUAUUGGUUGAUGUGACCCACACCCAAGUGAUAACAUAGCUAAGGAAGAAAUAACCAGCUCUGCCACUAGAUCGCCUGAAUUCAAAUCCCAGCUCUACCAUUUACUAACUGUGGAAUCUGGAGUAUAUGCUGAUGAUGUCUGGCCCCAGAGAGGGAUUUACUCACCAACAUACUCCCCACUCCAGAGACUUGCACGGGAAGAUACAGGCCCAACAGCAGAGGAGCCAGCUGACUGUGGACUGAAACCUCUAAAACUUUCUGAAGGCUGGCAAGACCAAGACCAAAA